AUAAAGUUUCUUGUUUUUCGUCUAUGUUUUUACGCUCACUGCUAGUCUUUCUCAAACUCCAAAACCAUUCUCACUUUCCCAUCAUCCAAGACCACCGACCUUCCACCUUCCGGCACCGUUUUCCGGCAACUCGGCCGGCACCGUCCUUCCUUCUUUCUUAAUCGUAUAGUUCUGUUUCAAAUACAAAGUUGCGGGGACUUCAAGCUAUUAAUGUUGCAUCCUUUUCUUAUUUCUUUCUCAAAUGGAAACUAAAUCCUCCACAAACUUAUUAACGAUUCAAUUAGUGGAUGAUGAUGUGAUUUCUGUAAUGAAGGCAUGCAAGCUUAGGUUCUCCAAGCCUAAUAAAUACUGGGUUGAAAGCUCUCAAAAGAGGUAUUGCCUCAUGCAGAGGAUUCGGUUCUUGGAAUAGUUGUUGACUCCAGAUCAGAUAACUUUCUUGUGGAUAUAAAAGGACAUGCUUUAGCAUUUCUACCUGUUAGAAUAUUAAAAAAUAUC